rnacentral:rRNA from 1 species
AUUGAACGCUGGCGGCAUGCCUUACACAUGCCAGUCGAACGGCAGCGGGCCCUUCGGGGUGCCGGCGAGUGGCGAACGGGUGAGUAAUGCAUCGGAACGUACCCGGGAGAGGGGGAUAACCGGCCGAAAGGCUGGCUAAUACCGCAUGAACUCGGUAGAGCAAAGCGGGGGACCUUCGGGCCUCGCGCUCUCGGAGCGGCCGAUGUCCGAUUAGGCUAGUUGGUGGGGUAAAGGCCCACCAAGGCGACGAUCGGUAGCGGGUCUGAGAGGACGAUCCGCCACACUGGGACUGAGACACGGCCCAGACUCCUACGGGAGGCAGCAGUGGGGAAUCUUGGACAAUGGGCGCAAGCCUGAUCCAGCAAUGCCGCGUGGGUGAAGAAGGCCUUCGGGUUGUAAAGCCCUUUCGGCGGGGAAGAAAUCGGUCAGGCGAAUAGUCUGGCCGGAUGACGGUACCCGCAGAAGAAGCACCGGCUAACUACGUG